AAACUUCCGGCGACACUCCGAUCACCGGUAAUUAUGGUGUACCCAGUGGCGGAGUCAAUGCAUUACUAGUGGGGUGCAUGGACCCCACUUAAAUUUGGGUCCCACUAGUUAUAUACAUAAAAAAAAUCAAGUGCAUUGUCCCCACUAAAAAUUCAUCACCCACUUACCUCCCAUUUGAAUACUCAAAAGCUUAGCAACUUAUUUUGUUGUUUAAUGUAACGCCUGUGUUCCGGGCUUGCCAUUUGUAGCAAUGUAAUAGUCUAGGUUGACCUUUGUAACCCAUUUUGAAGUAAUAAGAUUGUAUUAUUUGAGUAUUUUGUGUUUUGUGCUUAAUUGCUUAAUUAUGUGGUUUGAUUAAUUAAGAAAAAAAAUAAGCGUCAAAAUUUAAGUGUAAAAUAAACUUAAUAUAUUUGAUUAAUGUUGUAGUAAUUGAAACGAGGUUUCCGAAUAUAUAUAGAACGCCCAAAUCUGACUUCGUAUGAGGAAGUUAUGAUUUAUCGAAGUUCCGGCUUAGCGAUAUACAGCCUGUUUUACUCGAUUUGAGAUCGAGCGGUUGUUAGCCGAAGCAAUCUAAAUGAGAAUCGAAGAUCUCAUUGUUGGUAUUGAAACGAUAAAAAGUUAGGCGAGAACGGACGUCAAACGAAGAAGUUAUGAAUUUAUAACGAAAGUUUCUGUCCCGGCCUAUUAAAAAUAAAUAAUAAAAAUAAAGUCAAAAUUUGCCGACGGAGUCUAAACGAAAGUCGUAGAGCGUGGUCUCACCUUCGCGUGGAUAUAAAGAACGUCGAAAACGGAAUUCGUAUGAAGAAGUUAUGAAUUUCCGAAGUUUAUUAAUCAUUUUAUAUUUAUUUUUAAUUCAAAAUCGGAAGCAUUAUCCGAAGCCGAGUCACCGGUGUGAUCCGGAGUACGCCCCGCGUACGAGGUUACGCUACCGCGUACUCAGCAUAGUGUCGACACUUCGGAUGACGCAUGCAAUGACGAUUUCGGACGCGUACGCGCUGCGUACGCCUGUACGCCCCGCGUACUCCGAGGCUCCAGCCUCUAUAUAAAGGAUCCGAAGACAGCCUUCUUUGUUGUUCAUUUUCUUCUCUUCUCUCUAGUCUUUUGCAUCGUUUUUCGUGCCGAAGCUAUCCCGAAGCCCCGGUAUUAUACUCUAGCCCCGAGGCAAGUCCCGAGAUCCCGAAGAUCCCGAAAAGUGCGGUUCCCGAGUCGAAGCUCUGCCCGCGAGAAGUUCGAUUUUCGAGGAGAUCUUCCAGAUCUGCUGUGGAUUACUACUUCUAUAAGCCGUAGUGCUGUCCGAUCAUCUUCUGAUCAAGUGAGUGUGUAGUUAUUUCUUCUAAUACAAUAAUACGAAGUAUUUUAUAUAAAAAUACGUGCUAUGUGUAUAUAUUUGGUUGUGUUAUGUGUGAAUGAGUAUUCACUCUCUUCUAUCUUAUAGAUCUGCUUAUUUCUUUAUGAGAUAUGUGUUAUGUGUGUGUGUGCCUCAUCUGUUAUGUGAUAUAUGUGUUGAUUAAAGCAUGCUAUACAGGUUUUCUUUAAACUAUGUAUACAAAUGUAUAUUUUUAUCUACUAAUAUGUUGGGUAGAACAUGGGUAGACAGUUGGUGUGUAAUAAACAGAUGAGAGGCCUCGUUGUUGUUUGAUUGAGUCAUCUAGCGGAGUUUAGAUGACGACCACUGGCUAUUCUAGACAGUCUUGUGGAAACAUUAGCAGGUUCGCCACCUGUAGGUGUUAAUGAACUUGGGUGUUCAUUCGCUGUACUCCAUCCCCCUCAUGGUUGCCUUAUUUGACUUAUAUUGCUGAGGUACCCCCGAAGCAUGUGUUGUCGCCCCGAUGAAAUAUUCUUAGACUAGGUCCCUUAUGUUAGUUGUUUUAGGGACAUUAAAGUGAGAAUAACGGGAAUGGGUAAUUGGGUUAUUGUUGGUUGGUGAAAAUUAAAUAUGAUAUUUAUUGUGGGUUGAAAACCCUAUAUGCUCACCAGGCUCCCAAGCCUGACCCACUCAGUUUUAAAUUGUAUUACAGGUAGUGGCGGAAGGGCAUGAGAUGGAUGAACCAUCAAGUUGUUUUGUUUACAAGUCUGCAUAUGUUUAUAUUUGUUAUAUGACUUGUAAUGUAUUCGUUUAUGCUUAUUGGUCUGUAUCGGAACAUGACACCCCGAGUUUUGAUUAUAAUGAAAAUACAUUUCUUUUAUGAAAUGCUUCGGUAAACAAUGUUUUAUCAUGUUUUGUUUUUGGGAACAAAUUCCGCAACUCUUUCAAAUCAAAAGGAUUUACUCUGAAAAUAUUUAAAAGCAUAAAUGAAAAUCGGUCUUUUCUGGCCGAGAUUUUGGGGAUGUCACAGUUGGUAUCAGAGCAUUAGUUUAAGCGAACUAGGAAUUUGUAGGAUUUCUAGACUUAAACUUAGAAUGCUAAGUGAAGUUUUGAGAUGUGUGUCUGUUGUGAUUUAGACACGAGCACUAGUUUAUUUUAGGAAAGUUGCCUAAAAUGCUUUAUGUGCUAAAUGUUAUAUGUUGCCAUAUAUGAUAUUAUUUGUUCGGAUCUAUGGUCUGUUGCCGACCGGAUCUAGAAACCUUAUGUGUGUAGGAUUCUAAGCGUACGUCUACGAUAUUAGAACUAGCAUGUAAACGUUUCGGAGUGAUAAGGAUGAUUUGAAUAUCUAUCAUGAUUGAGGAUCUAAUUUCACCUUAUUCGGUGUAGAUCAAAAUGGUGAGAACAAGAAGUGGAGUUGGAAAUGCUGACGAAAACAGGAAUCAACCACCAGUGAUUGAGCCAAUACCUGUCGUAGCAGCAGCACCUGAGCCAAUAACCAUGGCUGGUGUGCAAUUGAUGAUUCAGACGAUGUUGGAUCGUCAGAUGGAUGAAACUAGACGGUUGCUUCAACAAAAUCGUGAAGAACUGUCGAUUCGUGUGGAAGAGCCUGAACUGAAUGAAGGGCACUCGGAAGGUGGAAACUUCAGUGGGUCUGUUGGUCCAGCCAACCCACCGAUAGUUAGGCAAGAUAACCAUGAUGGAAGGAAUGAUGGAAUGGGAUGCAAGUACAAGGACUUUUUGACUUGUAAACCAUCGACCUUCAAUGGAAAGGAGGAUCCGAUUGGGGUUAUGGAUUGGAUCUCCGAAAUGGAGUUAGCCUUUAUGACAUGUGGCUGUAGAGGCAAGUUGCAGACUAUCUAUGCCGUGCGACAAUUCCGAGGUGGAGCCGUUCGUUGGUGGAACACUCUAGGGAAGACCUUAAGCCCUAAUGAGCCACUGCAAUUGUCAUGGGCAGAGUUCUUGGUGCAGUUCAAGCGCAAGUUCUGCUCGGCUCAAAAUCUGUUGGAGUUGGAGAACAAGUUUUUGACAUUGACGAAGGGUAGCAUGUCAGUGGAUGAGUACACCAAUAACUUCACCGAUAAGAUGGAGUUUGCCUUGCGUAUCGUUCCAGACGAGCUGACAAAGGUGGAUCGGUAUGCGAAGGGACUUCCAUGGGAGUACGAGGUGCCGGUACGUCAGGCACUUACUCUAGAGGCAGCUAUCUGGGCUGCCAAGUCUGUGGAGAACAUGAUCAAGGGGAGAACCACCGUCAAGGUUGAGGUUGGUGAGAAAAGGAAGUUUGAAGGAACAUCUGGUUCCAGUAAGAAGAGCAAAUUUUCGAAAUCUGAUUCGAAAAAGUUUGGAGGAAAAGGAGGCGAAGCAAAGUGGUGUGAUAAGUGUAAGAAAAAGCACUUUGGGAAAUGUAGCGAGGAUGUGACCUGCUACAAGUGUGGAAAGGUUGGACAUUUUGCCAAUGAAUGUCCGAACAACAAAAGGAUGUGUUUUGGGUGUAAUGAAGAGGGGCAUAUUUUGAAAGACUGUCCGAAGAAGAAGGAGGCAGCUAGGCCCAACAUUCCACCAAAGCCGAAGGCGAGAGCCUUCCAGAUGACACUUGAGGCUGCGAAAGAUGAAGCUGAUGUCGCUUCAGGUACCUUUCUCGUAAACGAAUUACCUGCUCAUAUAUUGUUUGAUUCUGGAGCCAACUACUCCUUUAUUUCGCAUGAGUUUGGUAGAAAGCUAGCUUUGCCUGUUGAUAGACUAGAUAAUGCUUUAUUAGUCGAAGUAGCUAGUGGCAAGUUUGUACCUGUUAGCCAUCGUAUGAAAAACGUCUUGAUCGACCUUAAUGGGAAUAAGUUUCUCGAGGAAUUAUUGCCUAUCGAACUAAAUGGUUUCGACAUCGUCUUGGGAAUGGAUUGGCUUAGCGCCAAUGAUGCCGAAAUUUUGUGCAAGAAGAAGAUAGUUAAAGUAAACCCGCCUGGGAAAGAUUCGUUUAUGGUGUAUGGGGACAAACGCAGAGUGAAUUCUGGAAUCAUUUCUCUAAUGAAAGCCAGAAAGUGUUUGACCAAGGGAUGUACAUCAUAUUUAGCAUUCGUGAUUGAUGCUAAGAAAGAAAAGAAGGUGAUGCAGAGCAUUCCAGUGGUGUGUGAUUAUCCGGAAGUAUUUCCCGAGGAUCUUCCUGGAUUACCACCUGAUAGACAAGUGGAGUUCAGAAUAGACUUGUUACCAGGAACCACGCCAAUAGCAAAAGCACCUUAUCGAUUAGCACCGACGGAGAUGAAGGAGCUGAUGAUGCAACUUCAGGAGUUAUUGGACAAAGGUUUCAUUAGACCUAGUUCAUCGCCCUGGGGAGCUCCGGUGUUAUUUGUAAAGAAGAAAGAUGGAAGUAUGAGAAUGUGCAUCGAUUACAGAGAGCUGAACAAGGCAACAAUAAAGAAUAGAUAUCCGUUGCCGAGGAUUGAUGACCUGUUUGAUCAAUUGCAAGGUUCGAGCUAUUUCUCGAAGAUCGAUCUUAGGUCAGGAUAUCAUCAGCUGAAAGUAAGAGAGCAAGAUAUCGAGAAGACUGCAUUCAGAACUAGAUAUGGACACUACGAGUUCUUGGUUAUGUCGUUUGGACUAACCAAUGCUCCAGCAGCGUUCAUGGAUUUGAUGAAUAGGGUUUGUAAUCCUUUCCUUGAUAAAUCCGUGAUAGUGUUCAUAGACGACAUUCUGAUCUACUCGAAAAGCCAGGAGGAGCAUGGCAGACACUUGCGAGAAGUGUUAGAAGUUUUGAAGAAGGAGAAGCUUUAUGCGAAGUUCUCCAAAUGUGAUUUUUGGAUUCGUGAGGUCCAAUUCUUGGGUCACGUGGUCAACCAAGAAGGGAUAAUGGUUGAUCCAGCGAAGAUCGAAGCUGUGACGAAGUGGGAACAACCGAAAAGUCCCACGGAGAUUCGAAGCUUUUUAGGAUUAGCCGGAUAUUACCGAAGGUUUAUCCAAGGCUUUUCUUCGAUUGCUACUCCAUUAACAGCUUUGACCCACAAAGGAGCUACUUAUGCUUGGAGUGAGAAGCAUAAAGAAGCAUUCGAGAAGUUAAAGAAGAAGCUAUGCGAGGCACCGAUACUUUCUCUACCCGAUGGAGUUGAAGACUUCGCUGUUUAUAGCGAUGCGUCUGGUGUUGGAUUGGGUUGUGUUUUGACCCAAAGAGAAAAGGUGAUAGCAUAUGCGUCUCGACAGCUGAAAGAGCAUGAAAAGAAUUACCCGACUCAUGAUUUGGAGUUGGCAGCGGUAGUUUUCGCUCUGAAAAUAUGGAGGCAUUACCUCUAUGGCACGAAGUGCAAACUUUUCACUGAUCAUAAGAGUCUCCAAUACCUCUUUAAUCAGAAAGAAUUGAAUAUGAGGCAACGACGCUGGCUAGAAUUACUUAAAGACUACGACUGCGAGAUACUUUACCACCCCGGUAAAGCUAAUGUUGUUGCUGAUGCUCUCAGUCGGAAAGUCAAUCUUGAAAGGAAGAGGCCAAGAGCGUUGAGAAUUGAAGUUGUCUCGACUAUUGUGGAAAGUAUAAAGAAAGCUCAAGAGGAAGCUUCUGAGAAAAAUGACCGAAAGGAGGAACGUUUGGGUAAAACGUUGGUGUUUGGUACUAACGGUCAUGGACUGAAGGUAUUCCAAGAUCGUAUUUGGGUACCUAAGUCAGGAGGAAUUAGGGAUCUUCUGAUGGAAGAAGCUCACAAAACCAUGUACUCAAUUCAUCCGGGUAGCACUAAAAUGUAUAGGGACCUGAAACCCUACUACUGGUGGCCGACGAUGAAGCUUGAUGUUGCAAAGUAUGUGGCCGAGUGUGUGACUUGUGCGAGAGUCAAGACACAACAUCAGAAACCUUACGGGAGUUUAGAACCAUUGCCUGUGCCUAUGGGUAAGUGGGAAGACAUUGCUAUGGAUUUUGUCACUAAACUGCCCAGAACAAAGAAUGGUCACGACAUGAUUUGGGUGGUCGUUGAUCGAUUCACUAAGAGUGCGCAUUUCAUAGCGGCCAGGGAGAAAUGGUCUAUGGAAAAGCUUGCGAAUUCUUACGUGAAGGAAAUUGUGAGGCUUCACGGUGUUCCGUUAACGAUUGUAUCGGAUCGUGAUAGCCGUUUCACCUCAAGGUUUUGGAAAAGUCUACAAGAGGAAAUGGGUACCAAGUUAUGUUUAAGCACAGCUUACCAUCCGCAGACUGAUGGUCAGAGUGAAAGAACAAUACAAACACUUGAAGAUAUGCUGAGAGCAUGUACCUUGGAAUUCCUAGGUAAUUGGGAUGAACAUUUACCGUUGGUAGAAUUUUCCUAUAAUAAUAGUUUUCACUCGAGCAUUAAGAUGGCACCUUAUCAAGCUUUGUAUGGACAGAAGUGUCGUACGCCGUCUUGUUGGCUUGAGGCUGGGGAAAAGCAGUUUAUGGGACCGGAGAUGGUUCAUCAAACUGCUGAAAAGUUGAAAAUAAUUAGGGAAAGAAUGUUAGCAGCUCAAGAUCGUCAAAAGAGCUAUGCUGACAAGAAGCGAAGACCGAUGACUUUUGAGGUUGGAGAUUCGGUUUUGCUUAAAGUCUCGCCGUGGAAGGGACUUAUAAGAUUUGGUAAAAGGGGAAAGUUGAGUCCAAGGUUUAUUGGACCGUUUAAAGUCCUUCAGAGGAUUGGGAAUCAAGCUUACAAGCUCGAAUUACCCGAAGAACUGAAUGGAAUUCACAACACCUUUCAUGUGUGUUAUUUGAGGAAGUUCACGGGAGAAGUUCCCGAUAUAAUUCCAAUUUCUGAAUUGAGAAUUGAUGAGAACAAAAGGUUGAUUGAAGAACCAGAGGCAAUUGUUGACCGAAAGACUAAGAAGUUGCGACGCAAAAUGGUUGGGUUAGUGCUUGUCCGAUGGAAACACACGAAUGGGCCGAAUCUCACCUGGGAGACGGAGAGUGACAUGUUGAGUCGCUAUCCGCAUUUGUUUGUUGAUGUGUGAUUCCGGGGACGGAAUCAUUCUAAGGUGGAGAGAAUUGUAACGCCUGUGUUUCCGGGCUUGCCAUUUUUAGCAAUGUAAUAGUCUAGGUUAACCUUUGUAACCCGUUUUGAAAUAAUAAGAUUGUAUUAUUUGAGUAUUAUGUGUUUUGUGCUUAAUUGCUUAAUUAUGUGGUUUGAUUAAUUAAGAAUAAAAAUAAGCGUCAAAAUUUAAGUGUAAAAUAAACUUAAUAUCUUUGGUUAAUGUUGUAGUAGUUGAAACGAGGUUUCCGAAUAUAUAUAGAACGCCCAAAUCUGACUUCGUAUGAGGAAGUUAUGAUUUAUCGAAGUUCCGGCUUAGCGAUAUACAGCCUGUUUUACUCGAUUUGAGAUCGAGCGGUUGUUAGCCGAAGCAAUCUAAAUGAGAAUCGAAGAUCUCAUUGUUGGUAUUGAAACGAUAAAAAGUUAGGCGAGAACGGACGUCAAACGAAGAAGUUAUGAAUUUAUAACGAAAGUUUCUGUCCCGGCCUAUUAAAAAUAAUUAAUAAAAAUAAAGUCAAAAUUAGCCGACGGAGUCUAAACGAAAGUCGUAGAGCGUGGUCUCACCUUCGCGUGGAUAUAAAGAACGUCGAAAACGGAGUUCGUAUGAAGAAGUUAUGAAUUUCCGAAGUUUAUUAAUCAUUUUGUAUUUAUUUUUAAUUCAAAAUUCGGAAGCAUUAUCCGAAGGAGUCACCGAUCU
rnacentral:lncRNA from 1 species